rnacentral:lncRNA from 1 species
GUACUUUGGACAAAUUUUGCCAUUCAUCACAUGAAUUUUAGAUAAAAUAGGAUAGAAAAUGCUGUCUGAGACACAACAGGGUACAGCUUGUAACAACAUAACACGUUAAGGAAGUUGUGGUGCAUCCAUCAAGCCAGUAAACAUCAUCUUCUUUUUUCACCAGUUAUCCCUGAUCAUUCCAGGGAGAAUGUUCUUUGUAGAUUAGUAACUAAGAGCUCAUGGGCUGGUUAAAUUUCCUUUCAAGAAAGAAAAUAAUAAACAAAGAGACAUGAAUUAGCAUUGUGUUCAAAAUCCCAGAAUUGAUUUCAGGAGAUCUCCAUUGGUGGUCCCUUAAUUAGCCUGACCAAUGUGUCCUUUUGACCUGCUUUUAACGUAUAAUAUUAUUCCCUAGUGACCAAUCAAUAAAGAGAGAGGAGGGUGGGGUCCAUCCUUUUGUAUGAGAUUCCCUAGUAGCUAUAAUCAUAAUCCUGCUGCUGCACAUACUUUUACUUUCCCCAGAAUCCAUUCCCUUUUCUUUCUUUCUUUCUUUCUUUCUUCAAUCCCUGGCUAGACGUGUGUUUGUGUGCCUGUCCAUUGAGAAAGCAAGAAUUAAGGAAGGAAAAUAAAACAAAACAAUGUAUGAUCAUGCCUAUACAGUCUGCUUGAUCUUGCUCUUUACUAUCUCUCUCUUUUUCUUUUUUCGGUUUUCACCGUAAAUAUUCUUAAUUUAUUAAACUGAAAUUAAAAAUUAAAUUUUUUUUAAAAUUUGAAGUAUAUAUAUAUUAAUAUAAUUAAAAAAUGAAGUGGGAUUAGAGAAAGAAAAGAAGAUGAUGGGUUAUUUUUGGUUGUCUAGUCUAAGUCAUAUGCAUUGAUCUUUCCAACAAAAGAAAUUUUAAAAAAGAAUUAAAAAGCAAAGUGUGUGCAUUAUUAUGUCUGAGGCAUGCAGGGGUGAGCUCACUACUCCACUCUCAAUGUAAAAAGAAGAAGACAAUGUCAUAUGGUUAGGAACAGCUCCUUGAUGAGAUAAAUCAUAAAAUCCCUGCUGCCCUUUUGCUUUUUUUCACUAUUCAUCUUCAAUUCCAUUUGCUUUUGAUUGUAUUAAAAAGCAAAAGCAAAAGCAAAAGGGCCCUAGAGCAAGUGAGGGUUGUCAUUUGUGUGUUUCUUCAUAAAUACCAUUGCUUCAACUCUUAACUGGCCUGAUAAAGCUGAAACAAACAUUCACAAAAUGGUUAGCAAACAGCUUGUUCCUAGAUUGAAUGUACUUCUGUACUAAAAGAAAAAAGUAAAAUUAAAAGAGAGGAAAAUAAAGAAAAAAAAAACCAUCAUUUUAUCAGCUUUAUUUUCUGUACAUCACCCACUACAUAACAAUUAAAAAUGUGGUUUUGUGAUUAACCUAUUUAUUGCUAAAACAAGAAACAACUUCUUCACAACUGGACCUCGGAUGCUUAUAGCUAAUUCCAAAUAGCUAGUGAUCUUUAACAUUGAUUUACUUUUAAGUAAUUUUUGCUAAUACAAGAUACCCUUUUCUUUUAACUCUUCUGAACAACGAUCAGCACACACAUGUUGCCGUUUUACAUGUAUUUUAUCCAGGUUUUUCACUGAACAUGUUGCUUCUAGCUAAGUCGGUUCCAAUGAGGAAAUCUGAUAGUUGGGUUUUAGUCGUUAAACUUUUUCUGGAUUAUAUAUUAAUAAAAAUUUGCUUAUAAAAAACAAUUGGCAUACACAAGGAAAAAAAAGGGUAAAAACCAAACAUACUAGCCACAGAAAAAUGAGAGAAAGAAACCUAGGUACAGAGAAUAAAGAUAUAAAUAAGUUUAAAAAUCAACUCAACUUGCAUCCAAAAUCCAAAUUGAACUUUGCAAAUAAGACAAAAUAAUUAUUUGAUCAUGGAGACGUGGAAGCUAUGCAGACUCAGAUAGCUUAUAUGAAGUUACCCUGUGAAUUGUAAACCACUGGACAUGCAGCUAUUGUUCCUUUUUCUUUUGAUCUAUAGCUUGUUAGGACUAGGGUAGCUACAUAGCUGCAGCUCUCAUACCUUAACCACAGGUCAUAUGAAAUGUCCAUGAGACAAGCUUGUUAGAAGAUGGACAAACAUCAUAAGCAAUUCUUAUUGGAUGUCAGAUGUUAUUAUAAUUCAUUUAUAAUAAUUUCAGCUGAAUCUCAUCAGAUCGCUGGUUAGAAGUGUAGCAAAUUUAAAUCAGUCUCAUUCAUAAAUUAUAUAUAAAAAAAAUGGAGAUCAAUCAGGUAUGGAAAAUAUACCCAGAAAAGCAAAAUAUCAUGAAAAACCCUAAAACCAAGAGAUUGAUUGUUCAUAGAGAAGAAAGAGAUGAGGUAC